rnacentral:rRNA from 1 species
UACGUAGGGUGCAAGCGUUGUCCGGAAUUAUUGGGCGUAAAGAGCUCGUAGGCGGUUUGUCGCGUCGAAUGUGAAAACCCGGGGCUCAACCCCGGGCCUGCAUUCGAUACGGGCAGACUAGAGUUCGGUAGGGGAGUCUGGAAUUCCUGGUGUAGCGGUGAAAUGCGGAGAUAUCAGGAGGAACACCGGUGGCGAAGGCGGGUCUCUGGGCCGAUACUGACGCUGAGGAGCGAAAGCGUGGGGAGCGAACAGG